AUGGGAACCUUAUGUUUGUGGUAUAAGUGGCUGAGGAGUGGUUAUGAUAUUUGAUAACACAAAUGAGAGGCAUUAAUAUUUGUAAACCUGGCUGAACAAUGCAAAUUAGUUUGCAUUGAAUCUGGAGUUUAGCUUCGUAUUAACCAGAAUAACAAAGCUUCUGACAUGGAUAUGAAGAAAUGAUAAGGGAAGAAAAAAGGAACUAAAACUACAGCCGAGAAAGAUAAUAGUUCAAGAAAAUAAUGGAAUGAGUUGGGGGGAUCUAUUUAUACUAUGAUGUUAUUAGCAGGUCGAUAAAUCUGGUGAGG